AACGCACCUUGCGCUCCUUGGUAUUCCGAGGAGCAUGCCUGUUUGAGUGUCAUGGAAUCAUCAACUUCAAUAGCUUUUGUUAUUGAAGCUUGGACUUGGAGGUCUGUGUCGGCUCGCAAGAGUGGACUCCUCUCAAAUGCAUUAGCGUGAACCUGACGGAUCGCCUUCAGUGUGAUAAUUAUCUGCGCUGUGGUGUGAAGUCAAUUAGUGUUCGAGCUUACAACCGUCCGCAAGGACAAUUACUUGACAAUCUGACCUCAAAUCAGGUAGGACUACCCGCUGAACUUAA
rnacentral:misc_RNA from 1 species